GCCAGCAGCCAUAUCAACCUGCAACUCACAACUGGCAACCCACUGAAGCUAAGCAGAUGUGAGUGGUCAGUACCUGGAUAGGAGACCUCCUGGGAAAAACUAAGGUUGCUGCUGGAA
rnacentral:rRNA from 1 species